UCCCUUGUAGCUCAGUCAGUAAAGAGUUUGCCUGCAAUGCAGAAGACCCAGGUUCGAUCCCUGGGUCAGGAA
rnacentral:tRNA from 1 species